AAUCUCAUUCCCAUUCUUGCUCUUUCAGAAAAGACAGUUGUCCAAUCACACUAUGCACAAAAAUAUACAGUAUAAAAGUUGUAAGAGUUAGAAAGGAGCCUAUUUUAGAAUAUAUUUUCAUACAAAGUUGUUAGGCAGACAUCAUACCAAUGCACUACGCAAAUGUAGGACUUUAGCACACCUAUUUAUUAAUAUAUAUAUACUUUGCUUCAAAAGUAAUAAGCAUAUAAUUAAAUAAAGAUAUGUGUUAAAUCGCUACAUUUCAAUCAAAUCUAUAUAUCUUUUUUUUUUUUUCUCUUACAUACAAAAUCAACAUCCCAUAUGGUUAGGUUAGGUUAGGUUAGGUUUCUUUAUUUAGUCAUGUUUACACAGGAAAACAUGAAAUUUGCCUUCUCAGUUGCAUCUAAUAACAGGUAACAGACAGAAUGAAAUAAAACAGACAAAUAGAAAUAAGAAAGGUUAAGGUAAGGCAGUUAGAUAAAACAUAUUUAUACCAAAAAAAAAAAAAAGGUAACAGGAUAUAUAUCAAAACCUUAAACAUUAUCUCUGAUAUUUCUUAUUGAAAAGUCGUAUGGCACUAGGAAGAAAGGAGUUUCUGGAGCGAUUUGUGUGGGUUUUCAAAGCAACUAUCCUUCCUGAUUUACUGAAGUUUAGUUCUACAUGUAAUGGAUGUCUGUCAUCAGUUGAGAUGAUUUCCAGUUUCUUUAGCAAAAUAUAUGAUGUAUUUUUCCACUAUUUUUCAAGUUUGAAGUUGUGUUGGAUCUCUGUUCCAGCCAAAUGUAAAGCUUCCAUUAUCUCUUGGAUUGUCUGGUGCCCUACAGUGAGUUCCGCUGCUAUUUAUACUAUUAUCACGCAUCAGUCCUCUCUGAUUGAUAUCUUUUUCUUUUUUGCCACUAAUUGGAGGGAAUUCACUUAUUACACUACGUGGCUGAGACAAUUGGAGAUGUCAAAUUUUCUAUCUGUAGAAUGCUCUUAACUCAUCUUGCACUGCUUGUGCCCAUGCAGUAAUGGGUGAAUGUCAUCUGCAGACAUUUUCUCCUUUAAAAAAUGUCAUUUCUGCUCGCCAGCAAAAUGGCAUAUCCUUUGCUGUCAGUCAUUGCCAGCCAUCUUUUCACACUGAACUAUGAACUUACAAAGAAUAUUUUUUAUUAAGGAGUAAGACAAUAGAUCAAGUUAUGAUACUGCUCAUUACAAUGUUAUCACCAUUUCCUGGAAAUUCAUAUCUGCUCAUUACAUUUGGUACAACUCUCAGAUUAAUCUUUUGUUGUUGAUACACUGGCU